CAGCAGCCGCGGGAAUACGAAGGGGGCUAGCGUUGCUCGGAAUGACCGGGCGUAAAGGGCGCGUAGGCGGAUGGUACAGUCAGAUGUGAAAUUCCUGGGCUUAACCUGGGGGCUGCAUUUGAUACGUAUUGUCUAGAGUGAGGAAGAGGGUCGUGGAAUUCCCAGUGUAGAGGUGAAAUUCGUAGAUAUUGGGAAGAACACCGGUGGCGAAGGCGGCGACCUGGUCCUUGACUGACGCUGAGGCGCGAAAGCGUGGGGAGCAAACAGGAUUAGAUACCCCCGUAGUCCCUGUCUCUUAUAC
rnacentral:rRNA from 1 species